AUUGAACGCUGGCGGCAUGCCUUACACAUGCAAGUCGAACGGCAGCACGGGGCAACCUGGUGGCGAGUGGCGAACGGGUGAGUAAUGCAUCGGAACGUACCUUUCAGUGGGGGAUAACGUAGCGAAAGUUACGCUAAUACCGCAUAUUCUGUGAGCAGGAAAGCAGGGGAUCGCAAGACCUUGCGCUGAUUGAGCGGCCGAGGUCAGAUUAGCUAGUUGGUGAGGUAAGGGCUCACCAAGGCGACGAUCUGUAGCGGGUCUGAGAGGAUGAUCCGCCGCACGGGAACUGAGACACGGUCCAGACUCCUACGGGAGGCAGCAGUGGGGAAUUUUGGACAAUGGGGGCAACCCUGAUCCAGCCAUGCCGCGUGAGUGAAGAAGGCCUUCGGGUUGUAAAGCUCUUUCGGCCGGGAAGAAAUCGCACGGGCUAAUACCCUGUGUGGAUGACGGUACCGGAAUAAGAAGCACCGGCUAACUACGCGCCAGCAGCCGCAGUAA
rnacentral:rRNA from 1 species